rnacentral:rRNA from 1 species
AGGCUUACACAUGCAGUCGAGGGGUAACAGAUCUUCGGAUGCUGACGACCGGCGAACGGGUGAGUAACACGUAUGCAACUUACCCAUAACUCGGGAAUAGCCCAAAGAAAUUUGGAUUAAUACCCAAUAAUACAGGCGUACCGCAUGGUAUUCUUCGUUAAAGAAUAAUCGGUUAUGGAUAGGCAUGCGUUCUAUUAGGUAGUUGGUGAGGUAACGGCUCACCAAGCCGACGAUGGAUAGGGGAACUGAGAGGUUGUCCCCCCACACUGGUACUGAGACACGGACCAGACUCCUACGGGAGGCAGCAGUGAGGAAUAUUGGUCAAUGGACGAAAGUCUGAACCAGCCAAAUCGCGUGAAGGAAGAAGGUAUUAUGUAUCGUAAACUUCUUUUGUAAGAGAGUAAAGUGCACUACGUGUAGUGUAUUGCAAGUACCUUACGAAUAAGCAUCGGCUAAUUCCGUGCCAGCAGCCGCGGUAAUACGGAAGAUGCAAGUGUUAUCCGGAUUUAUUGGGUUUAAAGGGUGCGUAGGUGGUCUAAUAAGUCAGUGGUGAAAUCUCUUUGCUUAACAAGGAAAUUGCCAUUGAAACUGUUAGACUUGAGAAUGGACGAGGUAGGCGGAAUUCGUAGUGUAGCGGUGAAAUGCAUAGAUAUUACGAAGAACUCCAAUAGUGUAGACUGCUUACCAGACCAUAUCUGACACUAAGGCACGAAAGUGUGGGUAUCAAACAGGAUUAGAUACCCUGGUAGUCCACACAGUAAACGAUGAAUACUAACUGUUUGCGAUAUACAGCAAGUGGUCGAGCGAAAGCGUUAAGUAUUCCACCUGGGAAGUAUGCCGGCAACGGUGAAACUCAAAGGAAUUGACGGGGCCCGCACAGCGAGAACAUGUGUUUAUUC